rnacentral:rRNA from 1 species
AACGCGAAGAACCUUACCUGGGCUCGAACGGCUUUGGAUCGACGGUGGAAACACUGUUUUCCCGCAAGGGACCGGAGUCGAGGUGCUGCAUGGCUGUCGUCAGCUCGUGUCGUGAGAUGUUGGGUUAAGUCCCGCAACGAGCGCAACCCUCGUCCUAUGUUGCCAGCGGGUAAUGCCGGGGACUCAUAGGAGACUGCCGGGGUCAACUCGGAGGAAGGUGGGGAUGACGUCAAGUCCUCAUGCCCCUUAUGUCUUGGGCUGCAAACAUGCUACAAUGGCCGGUACAAAGGGUUGCGAGACCGCAAGGUGGAGCGAAUCCCAAAAAGCCGGUCUCAGUUCGGAUUGGGGUCUGCAACUCGACCCCAUGAAGUCGGAGUCGCUAGUAAUCGCAGAUCAGCAACGCUGCGGUGAAUACGUUCCCGGGCCUUGUACACACCGCUAGUC